CAGAUAGGCUAUAACUAACUUUAAUAAUAUUGACUCUAAAUAUGGAAAGAUGUAGGCCGAAGUAGACAUUUUCCUCCAAGUCCAAAGGCCUUUGAUGACACUAGGUAUCGCUACCACUAGUCACCAAGACCACGGACACGGAGAAAGCUGUCACUUUAAUGCACAUCCUGUAAUCUCCAAGUAUCUAUCGCCUCCUUUGAUGAAGCUGCUCGUCCUCCAGAGUCUCUAAACUCGACCGGGCGGGACUUCACCAAAUGAGACGUCUUCUACUUGGUGAUUACAUAAUGUGUAGGACUGAUAGAAAUAAAUGAAUGGGCUAUUGUGAUGAAAUUAGGGAUAAACUAAAUUAAAAUCCAAAAAGCGAUUAAAAGCUUACUUCCAAGAAGCUAUCACGACUUCUGGAUUAAAAUAAUCGCACCCCAAAGGAAAUUCUGUUUAGAAAAGGACUGCUUAACUUGGGUCUUAAAUGUAGCAAACGCGUUAGGGACUCUUAAAUGACCUAAACGGGACUCAUUUCUGACUGACAAGUAAACCAAGACAUUCUCUACACAAAACAAAAGCUAUUGACACUAAAAGGACUUAUUUCGGGCCCCACGUUGGGCGCCAUUUUGUUAAUGGUGGUGUUUCAAGGUUGGGAUUUAUCUGACGAUAAAACCCCGUUUGUGGUGCCAUGAAUUGCCUUGCCGGUAUGCUGGCGUUUAGCGCGGCUAGGGCUCGCCGGAUGGGGGUGGUUCUUGCAACCAUGACAUCUAUCACACCAUAAACCAAAAAAAUCAUACCGGUCUUUGCGUAAGAAAGAAAGAAAAAGGUAGGCCAAAAUAAGUCCAUGAAAAAAAAGGAACAGGAGACAAUGUCGAAAAAAAAACAAACACGUUCACUCACGAAAUUAAUGGACAAAUAACCUACACUGCACCGGACGAUACGUGGCUUGGCGGCUGGUAUGCCAAGCACUUGGCCCUCCCACAGAAGCCACGAUCGGGCUUCACCAUGAUACCUACACCAUGCCCUAGGUAUCCCAACAUCGGUACCCCUACUUACCUCUUACAUGCUCCCUACCACCUUCCUAAAAUCGGCCUAAGCCAAACACAUUUCUAAUUCCGUAUUCCAAACGUUAUAAAACUGCCCUCUUUAUUGUCACAAGUACAAAGAAAUCUUAAAUAGAAUUCCAACAAUGACAUCCACCGUUCGCCUUCGAUCCGAUCAUUUCUAUCCGCUGAAGUAAGGUUCCCGGUUUGCUUCGGCCGGGCUGCCGCUGAUGUCCGUCCGCGUAUAAACGUCGGUAGUUGGUUCUGUCCGUCCGUGUUGUCUAUAUGAAUAUAUUCCGCCUUUUCUGUUUUCUUUCAAUCAAUUCCUUUUUCUCCUUUUAGGUUUGACAAGCUGAUAUCCCCACCUAACGGGCAAAAGCUCCCUGAUCAACGCAUUGAGGACCUACCCGGAUUAGAGCUCUGAUCCUAGCGCCUACGGUUCCUCUAAAACGGAACUCACUAAAUUUAAGUUGGGACAGAUAACCCUUCUUGUCUCCCCCAGGUCGUCCGUUUUGGUCCGGAGUCCGGCAUUUACCCUUGCAACCCGGGGAGGUUGCAAGCAUCAGGAGCUCCCACGUUGAUUGGAGUGGGGAUGGUGACUGGGCGUGGCUGAUGACCGACGAUAGGUGUAUUGUAAUUAUUCCUUAUUUUGCUUAUACUUCAUAUAUUUUCCAGACUCUCUAUUUAGGCUAUAAAUCCAAUUCAGUUUGUAGGUUAAGCCUUUUUUUUAUUUGUAGGUUAAGCUCUAUUUAGUUUGUAAGUUAAACUCUAUUUAGUUUGUAAGUUACACUCUAUUUAGUUUGUAAGUAACACUCUAUUUAGUUUGUAAGUUAAACUCUAUUUAGUUUGCAAGUUACACUCUGUUUAGUUGGUAAGUUUUAAUCUCAUAUAGUUUUUAGGUUGUAACUUCCUGAUGCACGUAGUUUUUAGGAUUAAUUCGCAUGUAGUUUUUCAAGAUUAAUUGACACGUAGCUUUUAAGAUUAUUCGGCAUGUAGAUUUUAGCCUUGUGUUUUUCUUUCUUAUUUGUAGUUGAUUAAUUAAUUUAGGUUGUAGCCAAAAAUGCAAAUUUUCUUGAACACAAAUUCACGGCAAAUAAAAAACUCUUUCGCUACCACUGGUGUUUUAUUUUCUCUUUUCCUUUUUUUUUUUGUUCAUAGCGUUUAUAUUAAGGUAAAAGUGGUUCACACUGCUUUGUGGCACCGGGCAUUUCACUUAACCGCAGACACUUGCAGAAAAAACUUUCUUCUCCAAUCUCUCGCAGACAAACUCUUUCCUCUCCAUCCAGCCAGCUCCAAUAUCCAGAUCCAAAAGAAAGGGAAAAGCCCAGGAAAUCGGCCAUUUUCCCUAAAUUUCCUAAUAUGGCUUUUUCCUUUCGCUUUUUCCCUUAUUUUUGAUAUUUGGCCCCAAGCGACCUGACAUAUAUCAAUUCCAAUCUGUGGCCAGCUGUUUCGGCCGCGUUGCCAACCAAA